rnacentral:rRNA from 1 species
UACAGAGGGGGCAAGCGUUAUUCGGAAUUAUUGGGCGUAAAGGGCGCGUAGGCGGCGAUUCAAGUGACGGGUGAAAUCCCUCGGCUUAACCGGGGAACUGCGUCUGAUACUGGAUGGCUUGAGUUCGGGAGAGGGAUGCGGAAUUCCAGGUGUAGCGGUGAAAUGCGUAGAUAUCUGGAGGAACACCGGUGGCGAAGGCGGCAUCCUGGACCGAUACUGACGCUGAGGAGCGAAAGCCAGGGGAGCAAACGGG